rnacentral:rRNA from 1 species
GACGAACCGUGCGAACGUUAUUCGGAAUCACUGGGCUUAAAGGGCGCGUAGGCGGGCUGACAAGUCUGGGGUGAAAUCCCGCGGCUCAACCGUGGAACUGCCUUAGAUACUGUCGGCCUCGAGGAAGGUAGGGGCAUGCGGAACUGUAGGGUGGAGCGGUGAAAUGCGUUGAUAUCUACAGGAACUCCGGUGGCGAAAGCGGCGUGCUGGACCUUUUCUGACGCUGAGGCGCGAAAGCUAGGGGAGCAAACGGGG